AAAGGAAGAGACAGGUGUGAUUGGUUGGAGUGGGAUACAAAACAAAACCAGUUUGAGAUUCACAUUAUUGUUCCCAAACGCUCCCUUGACUUUCUCCAAACCCCAAUUCCCCAAAAACGCGUUUGGAACAAUCAGAUUCCAACGUUAAUAAUUCGAAAAUGGUGGUUUCCGACAGCCCUAACGGUGGCUCUACACCCCCGCCGCCACAACAAGAACAAGCUAACAAAGAUAGAUUCACAAAACCUAUCUCAAUUGCUGGCCCCACCGAAGCUGAUCUCAAUCGUAACACCGAAUUGGAGAAGUUUUUGGUUGAUUCGGGGCUUUAUGAGUGCAAUGAAGAAGCUGCAAGUAGAGAAGAGGUUCUUCGCCGCCUUGAUCAGAUCGUGAAAAGCUGGGUGAAGCAGCUGACUCGCCAACGAGGCUACACAGAUCAGAUGGUUGAGGAUGCAAAUGCCGUCAUUUUCACUUUUGGCUCUUACCGACUAGGGGUUCAUGGACCUGGAGUGGACAUAGACACUUUGUGCAUCGGUCCUUCCUAUGUAAAUCGAGAGCAAGACUUCUUCAUCAUUUUGCACAACAUCCUUGCUGAAAUGGAAGAAGUUACUGAACUUCAACCAGUACCUGAUGCACAUGUCCCAGUAAUGAAAUUCAAAUUCCAGGGAAUAUCUAUAGAUUUGCUGUAUGCAAGCAUAUCUAUUUUGGUUGUGCCAGAAGACUUGGAUAUCUCAGAUGGUUCCGUUCUGUAUGAUGUUGAUGAACAAACUGUUCGAAGUCUUAAUGGUUGCCGAGUGGCGGAUCAAAUUCUUAAACUUGUUCCAAAUGUCGAGCACUUUCGAACUACAUUGAGAUGUUUAAAGUUUUGGGCUAAAAGACGUGGUGUUUAUUCAAAUGUUACUGGAUUCCUUGGAGGAGUAAAUUGGGCUAUUUUAGUUGCUCGAGUUUGCCAGCUUUACCCUAAUGCAAUCCCUAGCAUGUUGGUUUCUAGAUUCUUUAGGGUCUAUUCACAGUGGCGGUGGCCAAACCCUGUAAUGCUAUGCCCUAUAGAAGAGAAUGAACUGCAUUUACCUAUAUGGGAUCCUCGCAGAAACCAUAGGGACAGGUAUCACCUUAUGCCAAUAAUUACUCCUGCAUACCCUUGCAUGAAUUCCAGCUACAAUGUCUCGACAAGCACUCUUCGUGUUAUGAUGGAACAGUUCUGCUAUGGCAACAAGAUUUGUGACGAAAUUGAGCUUAACAAAUCACAGUGGAGUGCGCUUUUUCAGCCAUAUGUCUUUUUUGAGGCUUACAAAAACUAUUUACAAGUAGACAUCAUUGCAUUAGAUGCUGAUGAUUUACUUUUGUGGAGAGGUUGGGUAGAAUCCCGACUAAGACAGCUAACCUUGAAGAUAGAGCGAGAUACAAGUGGGAUGCUGCAGUGUCAUCCUUAUCCACAUGAGUAUGCAGACACGUCCAAGCCUUGUGCGCAUUCUGCAUUUUUCAUGGGCUUGCAAAGAAAAGAGGGAGUAAGGGGUCAAGAGGGACAGCAAUUUGAUAUUCGUGGAACAGUUGAUGAGUUCAGACGAGAAAUUAUUAUGUAUGUAUACUGGAAGCCGGGGAUGGAAAUUUAUGUUUCUCAUGUUCGUCGAAAGCAGCUCCCUGCAUUUGUUUUUCCAGAUGGUUACAAACGCACUCGAAUGCCUAGGCAUAUAAACCAUGCGGCUGAGAAAAUGGGUGAUGAUACGACAAAGUGCAACUCUGGAUCCAGCUCUUCUGAAAGGUCCGUCAAGAGGAAGAAGAACCCUGAAAUGAUGGAUGUUAAGCCAGAUAAACCAGAGAAGCGGAUAUCUGUUAGCCCACAGAGGCUAGAGUGUGUUUCACCUGAAAGUUGUACUAGUAAAUUGGGUGGUACUCCUCAAAUGAGUAUCGAGUGUAUUGAAGGGGUUAGGCUAGAUGGCUCAACAACAAAUGAUACCGACAAUAAUUGUGAAAUCAAGUCAUCCGAUGGACUCUCAGGAAGUGGUACAAUUAUUGACGUAGGUGACAUGCAGAUAAAUGAAACAAGUUUUGUUGACUCCACACAUGAUAGGCUGAAAUCAAGGGCUUUAGAAGUUCAGAAUGAGAAUGGAGUCAAUGAGGACAAAGCUCGGGACAUGACUUUUGUUUGCUUGGAAAGGGCAGAAACUAUAUCUACAAAAAGCUUGCCAAAUUGGGAAGAGGGUGCUGUUGGAAUUGAUCAACAACUAGACAAAGCUUGUAAUUUCACAAGGGCUGAAUGUUCGGAUUAUGCACCAAUUGCCAGCACCCAGAACCUCAAUUGCGAGGUGAGUUUCUUUAUUUGAGGACUUUUAGAUUAGGAACAGUUGUGGAUGGAAGUGAAAUAAAACCGGGAAGUCUGAGAGAUAGUGAGAGUCAGGGAACUUUGCAGAGGGUGAUGUUUUGUGGCUGAUCCUGAUCAGUUCUGAAUAGAGAGUAUUUCAAAAUAUGGUGGCUGAAGAAGUUGAAGACAGAUGUCAGACUCGGGAGUGUAUAAGUUGAAGAUGAGGCUAGGAGGAUAAGUUUGGAGUGCAUCAUCUCAUGGAAGUUGAUGCAAAAUCUUAUGCUAUACUAGGGCUGUUGCUUUGCUGAGGUACUGGGAAUGGGCAAAGGCUAUAUUUAAACAAUGAAGAGCUGAUACAAACAAUGGAGGCUAAUAAGAUCAAGGUUUUGGAAUGGUCAUUUGUGUACAUUGAUGAACAGCAUGAUGGAGAUGCUUUAAAAUGCAGUCACACCCUAUUGUAUAUAAAACAUGGGCUCAUUAAAUCUUCAGAGCUGUGAAUCGUCUCAUAAAACGUAACAUAUUUGCGUGGGAACUUUGUUGUUUGCUUGCGAUGUGGAUGUGGACCUGUGAUUGAUACAUGCAUCAUGCUAUGUAAAUGUAAUCAUAUAGUCUUCUAAGCUAAGUGGUUAAGAAGAGAAAAUGUUAUAACAGAUAUUUUUGGCGGCAUUCAAUUUGAAAGUUUAGAUGGUAGAAAAAAUCAAUCUGCAGCAA